GACGAACGCUGGCGGCGUGCUUAACACAUGCCAGUCGAACGGAAAGGCCCUGCUUUUGUGGGGUGCUCGAGUGGCGAACGUGUGAGUAACACGUGAGUAACCUGCCCUUGACUUUGGGAUAACUUCAGGAAACUGGGGCUAAUACCGGAUAGGAGCUCCUGCUGCAUGGUGGGGGUUGGAAAGUUUCGGCGGUUGGGGAUGGACUCGCGGCUUAUCAUCUUGUUGGUGGGGUAGUGGCUUACCAAGGCUUUGACGGGUAGCCGGCCUGAGAGGGUGACCGGCCAAAUUGGGAAUGAGAGACGGCCAAGACUCCAACGGGAGGCAGCAGUGGGGAAUAGUGCACAAUGGGCGGAAGCCUGAUGCAGCAACGACGCGUGCGGGAUGACGGCCUUCGGGUUGUAAAACGCAUGAGCAUGUGACGAAGCGUGAGUGACGGUAAUGGGUAAAGAAGCACCGGAUAACUAAGUG
rnacentral:rRNA from 1 species